AAAGGAUUUAUUCGGUAAAAGAUGGGCCCGCAUCUGAUUAGCUAGUUGGUGAGAUAAUAGCCCACCAAGGCAACGAUCAGUAGCCGACCUGAGAGGGUGACCGGCCACAUUGGGACUGAGACACGGCCCAAACUCCUACGGGAGGCAGCAGUGGGGAAUAUUGCACAAUGGGCGAAAGCCUGAUGCAGCAACGCCGCGUGAAGGAAGACGGUUUUCGGAUUGUAAACUUCUAUCAAUAGGGAAGAAAGAAAUGACGGUACCUAAAUAAGAAGCCCCGGCUAACUACGUGCCAGCAGCCGCGGUAAUACGUAGGGGGCAAGCGUUAUCCGGAAUUACUGGGUGUAAAGGGAGAGUAGGCGGCAAGGUAAGCGAUAUGUGAAAGCCUUAAGCUUAACUUAAGGAUUGCAUAACGAACUAUCUAGCUAGAGUACAGGAGAGGAAAGCGGAAUUCCUAGUGUAGCGGUGAAAUGCGUAGAUAUUAGGAAGAACACCAGUGGCGAAGGCGGCUUUCUGGACUGAAACUGACGCUGAGGCUCGAAAGCGUGGGGAGCGAACAGGAUUAGAUACCCUGGUAGUCCACGCUGUAAACGAUGAGUGCUAGGUGUCGGGGAGGAAUUCCCG
rnacentral:rRNA from 1 species